rnacentral:rRNA from 1 species
UACGAAGGGGGCUAGCGUUGCUCGGAAUCACUGGGCGUAAAGCGCACGUAGGCGGGUUGCCAAGUCGGGGGUGAAAUCCUGGAGCUCAACUCCAGAACUGCCUUCGAUACUGGCGAUCUUGGAGUCCGGGAGAGGUGAGUGGAACUGCGAGUGUAGAGGUGAAAUUCGUAGAUAUUGGGAAGAACACCGGUGGCGAAGGCGGCUCACUGGCCCGUAACUGACGCUCAGGCGCGAUAGCGUGGGGAUCAAACAGG